rnacentral:lncRNA from 1 species
UGACAAUAAAAAAUUUAGUAGACUAAAAAAAAAAGAGAGAGAAAUUAGAUUAGAUGAAAAAAAAAUAGAAAUGAAAGGAAUAAGAAAAGUGAGAUAUAGUGUAAAUAUGAUGUUUAAAAAUAAUAAUAAUUAAAAAAGAAUAAUAGUUAAUUAAUUAAGGAUUAAAUUAUGAAUUUGUAAUUUAUGUAGUUGAAUUAAAUUACUAGAUUCAUAUGAUAUGACAAUGUUUAAAAGCAAUGUUUAAAAGCAGAGUUGUAAUAUGAUAAAGUAUUAUAGUUGAAGAAUUGAAAGUUAUACUGUAUUGGAAGUUUUUGUCCCCCUAUGUAAAUGUAUAAAUUAUUUAAAGUCU